GCCCGUGUGGCUCAGUGGUUGAGCACUGACCUAUGAAGCAGGAGGUCACAGUUCAAUUCCUGGUCAAGGGCA
rfam:Myotis brandtii contig205556, whole genome shotgun sequence.